rnacentral:rRNA from 1 species
CGGACGGGUGAGUAACGCGUGAGAAUCUGGCUUCAGGUCUGGGACAACCACUGGAAACGGUGGCUAAUACCGGAUGUGCCGAAAGGUGAAAGGUUAACUGCCUGAAGAUGAGCUCGCGUCUGAUUAGCUAGUAGGUGUGGUAAAGGCGCACCUAGGCGACGAUCAGUAGCUGGUCUGAGAGGACUAUCAGCCACACUGGGACUGAGACACGGCCCAGACUCCUACGGGAGGCAGCAGUGGGGAAUUUUCCGCAAUGGGCGAAAGCCUGACGGAGCAAUACCGCGUGAGGGAGGAAGGCUCUUGGGUCGUAAACCUCUUUUCUCAGGGAAGAACACAAUGACGGUACCUGAGGAAUAAGCAUCGGCUAACUCCGUGCCAGCAGCCGCGGUAAUACGGAGGAUGCAAGCGUUAUCCGGAAUGAUUGGGCGUAAAGCGUCCGCAGGUGGCUGUGUAAGUCUGCUGUUAAAGAGUCUAGCUCAACUAGAUAAGAGCAGUGGAAACUACACGGCUAGAGUACGUUCGGGGCAGAGGGAAUUCCUGGUGUAGCGGUGAAAUGCGUAGAGAUCAGGAAGAACACCGGUGGCGAAGGCGCUCUGCUAGGCCGUAACUGACACUGAGGGACGAAAGCUAGGGGAGCGAAUGGGAUUAGAUACCCCAGUAGUC